rnacentral:rRNA from 1 species
GAUGAACGCUGGCGGCGUGCCUAAUACAUGCAAGUCGAGCGAACAGACGAGGAGCUUGCUCCUCUGACGUUAGCGGCGGACGGGUGAGUAACACGUGGAUAACCUACCUAUAAGACUGGGAUAACUUCGGGAAACCGGAGCUAAUACCGGAUAAUAUAUUGAACCGCAUGGUUCAAUAGUGAAAGACGGCUUUGCUGUCUCUUAUAGCUGAAUCCGCGCCGCAUUAGCUAGUUGGUAAGGUAACGGCUUACCAAGGCAACGAUGCGUAGCCGACCUGAGAGGGUGAUCGGCCACACUGGAACUGAGACACGGUCCAGACUCCUACGGGAGGCAGCAGUAGGGAAUCUUCCGCAAUGGGCGAAAGCCUGACGGAGCAACGCCGCGUGAGUGAUGAAGGUCUUCGGAUCGUAAAGCUCUGUUAUUAGGGAAGAACAAAUGUGUAAGUAACUAUGCACGUCUUGACGGUACCUAAUCAGAAAGCCCCGGCUAACUACGUG